rnacentral:rRNA from 1 species
UACAGAGGUCUCAAGCGUUGUUCGGAUUCAUUGGGCGUAAAGGGUGCGUAGGCGGCGCGGUAAGUCGGGUGUGAAAUCUUGGAGCUUAACUCCGAAACUGCAUUCGAUACUGCCGUGCUUGAGGACUGGAGAGGAGACUGGAAUUUACGGUGUAGCGGUGAAAUGCGUAGAUAUCGUAAGGAAGACCAGUGGCGAAGGCGGGUCUCUGGACAGUUCCUGACGCUGAGGCGCGAAAGCAUGGGGAGCGAACGGG